GGAAGAGAAGCAAAAAUAAGAUAAAGACAGAGAGGGAGGCAAACCAUAAGAGACUCUUAAGUAAAGAGAACAAACUGAGGGUUGAUGAGAGGUGGGAGAUAAGGGAAAGUGGGUGAUGGGCAUUGAGGAGGGCACCUGUUGGGAUGAGCACUGGGUGUUGUAUGAAAACCAACUCGACAAUAAACUAUAUAU